ensembl:lncRNA
GCCAACUUGUAGUGACUCCACUCAGCGGCGCAGAAUGGCUGCGGGAAAUGUGUAUUCAGAUAAGCCCAAAGAAGUCUGCCCAGGGUGAAACAAGUACCUUUGAAGUUUAAAUCAGGAUGAAGUUGUGCUUAAUAGCCUCUUUAAUUUAUUCAGAAACUACACAACUUUUGUCGCUAUAUUUUAUUAGAAAGGAAGGAGAGGCUGUUUCUACAGGUGUCAGAGAAAAAUCGAUACGGAGCCACGGAUUAUUGAAUCCCGUAGAACCAUGGAGGCUUGGCAGUGAAAUUCUUCCAAAGGGUUUCUUCUAGAUUUCACAAAGUUGAAAAACUAUACCUAAUGCAUUGGUGGUUUGACUGCAUUGCUUAGCGUUCGGUCCAUGCAGGCAGACGGUGUUCCUAGGUUUGGAAACAUAAAUCCUAGGGGAAGUGAGCUGAAGAACAUUUUAUGCAUCACUCAUCCUAUUAUGAGCCCUGUGCUGCUCCAUCUCUACAAGAUUGGCUGAAGCAAUAGCAACCACAAAAAAUUAUUUAUGAUUUGCCUUCUAACUUUCCAUCAUUUGGUUAAUACCCUGACUCUGAUUACCCAGGAAAACAAUGUUCUAAAAGAAAGACUAUUAGAAGGUUGCUGCUGCAUUAUUAGUGAAUAACAUGGAAAGUGCAAAUUCUAGAUGUCCCAUCGUAUGAGUUGGCCGUUAAAGAACAGAAACAGAGCAGUAAGACUUCGUGGCUACAUUUUCCCAGUGCCACCAACUGAGAGUUAAGCUGACUAACGUGUUGAAAGCCCAGCCCAUUCCGUUCACAGCAGGCAUGGCAGGAUUCUCCAGGCAAGAAUACUGGAGUGGGUUGCCACAUCCUCCUCCAGGGGAUUUUCUGGACCAAGGGAUUGAAUCCACGUCUCUUACAUCUCUUGCAUUUGCAGCGGUUGACUGAUUGUACCUGCCAGCUGGCUAAUAUCAUAAU